UCUCCAGGAACAGAUGUCCUGCGUUCUAAAUGAAGAGUGCAGAGCCCACAGCAAACAACUGUCCCCAGCAGCCCGGAUCCCUCUGACAUCAGCCCCCAGGAAUGUGCUGCAGACCCUCUAGCACGUUCAGGCCUCCCAGGGGAUACCCUCCCCUCCCCUCCUCCAUCCCAGUGUUUCACUGGGGACAGGCCUCUGAGCUGCAGACGGAGGCCCACGGAGGGUGGAAGACAGCCCACCCCGCUCCAGACCUGGAGACUGGAGGAGUGACUGGAGUGAGUGAGGCAGCCUUGAGUGGAGUGGAGCGGGAAGCCUGCCUGUGAAAGAGGCAGCUAGGCCAAUAGCUGGACUGUAGGAAGAACACGGAGCUGGACUGAUUCAACCAAGAGUCCUACCGACCGGUGCUCCCCUUGCCAAGAGUGAAGGCAGAUGCCGUGGGAUUCUGCCAGCUGCUGAGUACAUCUAUUUCCAUGAUGCUUUCCGGAAGUGGGGAAAUAGCACAGAAUGGGUUUCAGAUGGACGUAAGCUAAAAACCCAUAAGCCCCCACUUUGAUGUUCUGGGUCUCCUAGAAUUACUGUCAGCUCAGAACCAGUGGCCAGUAGUCCAAAAGAUCUGAUUAUUUCCUUUUCUCCAAUGCACGCUCAUCCUGGUGAAAGGUGUCUUUGGAGAACUGGGAGAAAGAAUACAGUAUAGAUUUCUGGCAGGCUACGAGGGUGCUUCCUUGAGGGUACCCAGCCUUUCCCUCAUUCAAGAGCUUCCAGUCUGAUAAAACUGGCUCAAGUACGGGAAUGGAUUGAGGGGUCAUGACUCUACUCUGCUUUUAUGAUUUGGGAUAGACUUUUGUUUGCUUGACCUAGAAGUUUUCUGCUUAUACAGAUUAAGUACGAACUUAGUAGGCUUCCUGUCUAUUUCACUUCGAGGAACAUCAUGAUCAACCAGCCAACACCACAGGUCUGCAGCAGUCAGACUGAUUUCUGCUUUGACUCCACUGUCCAAUAGGGUCAGCACGUCCACCUUGCCUUUGGUAGUACUACAGCCACGGGGCCCCCGCCACCCUGGAGCCAAUUACUCCGGUCGCAUUCAGGUUACUGGUUCAGUGGCUGCUGUUCCUGCUGUGAGGUCUGGCCUUCAGAGAAGAGUGAUCACAGCUCCUCAAGGAGGCUGGAGCUCCUUUCAUAUAUUUACUUCUCACCAUCAAGGUGAAAGGCAUGUCUUCAGGAGCUUCCCAGCGUGGGUGAGGAGGUCUUAAAGGGAAGCCAAACAUGCCGCAGACCACGCGGGAAUUCUUGGCCGUCCAGUGCUUGUCACAGAUCUGCUUCCAGGUCUUGCCCUCCUUCACCUCCACGUAGCCCUCCAUCACUGGGGUGCGCUUGCGGCAGCCACUUGGGUAGGUAACAGAGGCUGCUUUUUUGGAGAACGGGCAAGCCCUGCUGUCAGCAGGAAGUCGGCGGGACACCUGCUCCAACAACCAGCCCCUGUGACCCAGCAGUUCCUCCUGUCCUGGUCAGGCCUGACCACCCACCACACAACCUCAUGGUGAAUCUGGUAGUUCUCUUCACAGCCAUCAUCACCAUGGUAACACAGUCAUGAGGCAUGAGACUGUUUCUCCACUGCUGGAUGGUAAGCUCAGGAUGGGCAAGACGGUCCGUUCCAUCACUCCCUUUAUCCUCAUGUCUAGUGUAGGGUCUGGUGCUGAAUCAAAAUGUAUUGAGUGAAUGAAUAAACAGAUCCUUAGCAACGGACUCCUGGGGAUGGGGUCGGGGGAUUCCUUGGCACUGACACCCAGCAUGGCUGAGGUGACUCAAAUAAGCCACUUAGGCUCAUUGCAGAACCAGGCUGACCGCUGCCCACUCUGCCCUAGUCACAUCACCAGACCUCCCUGCAGAGCGGACCUGCCCAUCUAGGGCAGGGAGAGGCUUCCUCCAGCCCAGCUCAAGCCCCCACUUCCUCCAGAUAGCAACUGUCCCACAGGUUUCCUCAUUCACCUCUCUCUUCUCCAAACUGCCAUGCCAUUAAGCACCCAAUCACAUUCUUCAAAGUUUGAGUACAUCCUGUUCAUUUAUUUAUUUCAUCUAAAACAAAUUAUAAGCCUCCUUAUUCAUGUGUGCAAUCUAACAAAUAA
rnacentral:lncRNA from 1 species